rnacentral:rRNA from 1 species
GACGAACGCUGGCGGCGUGCCUAAUACAUGCAAGUCGGACGCACGAAGUUGAAGAGCUUGCUCUUUAACCAAGUGAGUGGCGGACGGGUGAGUAACACGUGGGUAACCUGCCCAUUAGAGGGGGAUAACAUUCGGAAACGGAUGCUAAUACCGCAUAGUUUCAGGGAUCGCAUGAUUCUUGAAGGAAAGGUGGCUUCGGCUACCACUAAUGGAUGGACCCGCGGCGUAUUAGCUAGUUGGUGAGGUAAUGGCUCACCAAGGCAAUGAUACGUAGCCGACCUGAGAGGGUGAUCGGCCACACUGGGACUGAGACACGGCCCAGACUCCUACGGGAGGCAGCAGUAGGGAAUCUUCCGCAAUGGACGAAAGUCUGACGGAGCAACGCCGCGUGAGUGAAGAAGGUUUUCGGAUCGUAAAACUCUGUUGUUAAAGAAGAACAAGGAUGAGAGUAACUGCUCAUCCCCUGACGGUAUUUAACCAGAAAGCCACGGCUAACUACGUGCCAGCAGCCGCGGUAAUACGUAGGUGGCAAGCGUUGUCCGGAUUUAUUGGGCGUAAAGCGAGCGCAGGCGGUUCUUUAAGUCUGAUGUGAAAGCCCCCGGCUCAACCGGGGAGGGUCAUUGGAAACUGGAGAACUUGAGUGCAGAAGAGGAGAGUGGAAUUCCACGUGUAGCGGUGAAAUGCGUAGAUAUGUGGAGGAACACCAGUGGCGAAGGCGACUCUCUGGUCUGUAACUGACGCUGAGGCUCGAAAGCGUGGGGAGCAAACAGG